CCUCCAAGCCUGUGGUCUCAUCAGGAGAAAAAUUAUAUACUCCUAGUGCACAAUCUAUGAACCAGAUCUAACUUUUGAUGGACUUGAAGAGACCUCAACUCAGCAGGAUUACUCGGGAGCAGCAGCAUGGCAAAGCCAGGGCAUUUAAAGGCUGCAGAACAUAUACAGUACAUCAAACAGUGAAGACCCGCCAGUAUGUUCAUUCAGUAAGUCAGGAAGAUUAAAUAAACUCAUUAUACAAAUUAWCUAAAGAUUAAAUAAAUUCAAGAACAGGAUCAAAAAGGGACUCAGAAAUACUAACAGAAACUCUGCCAUCCAAAUUCAACAAAUCAUAUUUCCACUGAACAGCCCUAAUAAAUAAUUUUUAGAACUAAUCUAUUGGUUCUUUCAGGCUGACUAGUGACAGACUCAUUUCUAUUGGACUGUUUUAGGAUAUAUUGACCACCCUGAAUUCAGUUAAUGGAACUGCAGAGCAGACACCUGCACUAGACUCUGAACCAGUUAUGAAAAAAAAAGUUUCUUUAUGGCCAGAGCAUUUUUUGAUCUGCACAUUAACA